CAGCGGAAGGGAUCAUUA
rnacentral:rRNA from 1 species